UACGUAGGGUGCAAGCGUUGUCCGGAAUUAUUGGGCGUAAAGAGCUCGUAGGCGGUUCGUCGCGUCGGCUGUGAAAACCUGAGGCUCAACCUCAGGCCUGCAGUCGAUACGGGCGGACUUGAGUACUGCAGGGGAGACUGGAAUUCCUGGUGUAGCGGUGAAAUGCGCAGAUAUCAGGAGGAACACCGGUGGCGAAGGCGGGUCUCUGGGCAGUAACUGACGCUGAGGAGCGAAAGCCAGGGGAGCAAACGGG
rnacentral:rRNA from 1 species